UACGGAGGAUGCAAGCGUUAUCCGGAUUUAUUGGGUUUAAAGGGUGCGCAGGUGGUUUAAUAAGUCAGUGGUGAAAGUCUGGCGCUUAACGUUAGGAUUGCCAUUGAUACUGUUAGACUUGAAUAUGGAUGAGGUAGGCGGAAUGUGUAGUGUAGCGGUGAAAUGCUUAGAUAUUACACAGAACACCGAUUGCGAAGGCAGCUUACUAAUCCAUCAUUGACGCUGAGGCACGAAAGCGUGGGGAUCAAACAGG
rnacentral:rRNA from 1 species